CCUGUGCCUAGAGGUGUUGCAGGUGUGGCUGCUGUGGGUCACACAUGCGAGGCAGUAGGUGACAGGAGAGAGGCUAUGUCUAAGUUCAGUGCUGGGACAUGUGAACGGCUCAGUGAUUGGCAGCCUGGCACU
ensembl:snoRNA